UUUGAAACAAAGAACGCGGAUCUUAAGAAAAAAGUUCAAAUCACUUGGGCUGUUGGGUUACAUCAAUACAACACCGUUUUGCCUAUAAUAUUAAAGCCAAAAAUUUCUUUUAGUAAAACAUUUCAUUUCAUUUUCUUCAAAACAGAGGGGGGAAAGAAAAAUUCUCUGCUAGUGUUUUUCCUUAACUCAGCCCCAGCCGCCGUAGCCAUGUCGCCACCACAGCUCCACCGCAGAUGGCGGUCUGAGGAGAUCAGACCCACGGUGCAUGCGUGAAGGGCUGAACGUGAGCGAUGUGGAGGUUGCUGAACGUGGGGCAUGCGGCGCUGUCUGCUGCUAACUGCUUAGGGUUUCUCCCUUGGGCUACUCUGUAAUUGGGCUAGGGUAAAUGGGCUUUGGACCCAAUGUUUUUUGGGCUGUUAUUGUUUGUAUUUAUUUUGCUUUCUAUUUAUGAGGGCGCGGGCCCAAAAUUGGAUAUCACACUUGUUAUCAUAGAUUUAUUGGGAUCUCUUCUAAUAUAAUAGUCGAACUAUGGGGGUCUUAGGAUGGACUUCAACUUGCUAAAAGUUUGCACAUUUAUUGUAUCGUUGUCGAGCUUGAUGUGGUCGUUAUUGUGAGUUCCAUCAAAAAUCUUAUUUAUGACUAUACGACUUUGUUGAGCAA